AUUGAACGCUGGCGGCAUGCCUUACACAUGCAAGUCGAACGGUAACAGGUUAAGCUGACGAGUGGCGAACGGGUGAGUAAUACAUCGGAACGUGCCCAGUAGUGGGGGAUAGCCCGGCGAAAGCCGGAUUAAUACCGCAUACGACCUAAGUGUGAAAGGGGGGGAUCGCAAGACCUCUCGCUAUUGGAGCGGCCGAUGUCAGAUUAGCUAGUUGGUGGGGUAAAAGCUCACCAAGGCGACGAUCUGUAGCUGGUCUGAGAGGACGACCAGCCACACUGGGACUGAGACACGGCCCAGACUCCUACGGGAGGCAGCAGUGGGGAAUUUUGGACAAUGGGCGCAAGCCUGAUCCAGCCAUGCCGCGUGCGGGAAGAAGGCCUUCGGGUUGUAAACCGCUUUUGUCAGGGAAGAAAUCCUUUGGGUUAAUACCUCGGGGGGAUGACGGUACCUGAAGAAUAAGCACCGGCUAACUACGUG
rnacentral:rRNA from 1 species